GAGUAUCACGUGGGUAACCUGCCCCGGAGACCGGGAUAACAUGGGGAAACCUGUGCUAAUACCGGAUAUCCUGCCUUUCCCGCAUGGCAUCGGUAGAAAAAGGUAGGCUUUGCCAUCCGCUCCGGGAUGGGCCCGCGGCCCAUUAGCUUGUCGGUAGGGUAACGGCCUACCGAGGCAACGAUGGGUAGCCGGCCUGAGAGGGUGUCCGGCCACACUGGGACUGAGAUACGGCCCAGACUCCUACGGGAGGCAGCAGUGGGGAAUAUUGCGCAAUGGGCGAAAGCCUGACGCAGCGACGCCGCGUGGGCGAAGAAGGCCUUCGGGUUGUAAAGCCCUGUCAGGGGGGAAGAAGGGCAACUGACGGUACCCCCAGAGGAAGCCCCGGCCAACUACGUGCCAGCAGCCGCGGUAAAACGUAGGGGGCGAGCGUUGUCCGGAAUCAUUGGGCGUAAAGAGCACGUAGGCGGCCCGUUUAGUCGGAUGUGAAAACCCGCGGCUCAACUGCGGGACUGCAUUCGAAACUGGCGGGCUGGAGUCCGGUAGAGGAAAGUGGAAUUCCCAGUGUACCGGUGAAAUGCGCAGAUAUUGGGAAGAACACCGGUGGCGAAGGCGGCUUUCUGGGCCGAGACUGACGCUGAGGUGCGAAAGCUAGGGGAGCGAACAGGAUUAGAUACCCUGGUAGUCCUAGCCGUAAACGAUGGGCACUAGGUGUGGGGAGUGUCAACUCUCUCCGUGCCGAAGCUAACGCAUUAAGUGCCCCGCCUGGGGAGUACGGUCGCAAGGCUAAAACUCAAAGGAAUUGACGGGGGCCCGCACAAGCGGCGGAGCAUGUGGCUUAAUUCGACACAACGCGAAGAACCUUACCAGGGCUUGACAUGCAUCUGAAAGGCGUGGAAACACGUCCCCCUUUAUGGCAGUUGCACAGGUGGUGCAUGGCUGUCGUCAGCUCGUGUCGUGAGAUGUUGGGUUAAGUCCCGCAACGAGCGCAACCCUUGUCCUGUGUUGCCAGCGGUUCGGCCGGGGACUCACAGGAGACUGCCGGUGACAAACCGGAGGAAGGUGGGGACGACGUCAAGUCAUCAUGCCCCUUAUGCCCUGGGCUGCACACGUGCUACAAUGGCCGGUACAGAGGGCUGCGAAACCGCGAGGUGGAGCCAAUCCCAAAAAGCCGGUCUAAGUUCGGAUUGGAGGCUGCAACUCGCCUCCAUGAAGUCGGAGUCGCUAGUAAUCGCGAAUCAGCACGUCGCGGUGAAUACGUUCCCGGGCCUUGUACACACCGCCCGUCACACCACGAAAGCUGGCAACACCCGAAGCCGGUGGCCUAACCCUUUUAGGGAGGGAACCGUCGAAGGUGGGGUUAGUGAUUGGGGUGAAGUCGAAACAAGGUA
rnacentral:rRNA from 1 species